rnacentral:rRNA from 1 species
UAACUGAAUCCAUAGGUUAAUGAGGCGAACCGGGGGAACUGAAACAUCUAAGUACCCCGAGGAAAAGAAAUCAACCGAGAUUCCCCCAGUAGCGGCGAGCGAACGGGGAGGAGCCCAGAGCCUGAAUCAGCAUGUGUGUUAGUGGAAGCGUCUGGAAAGGCGCGCGAUACAGGGUGACAGCCCCGUACACAAAAGCGCAUGUGCUGUGAGCUCGAUGAGUAGGGCGGGACACGUGGUAUCCUGUCUGAAUAUGGGGGGACCAUCCUCCAAGGCUAAAUACUCCUGACUGACCGAUAGUGAACCAGUACCGUGAGGGAAAGGCGAAAAGAACCCCGGCGAGGGGAGUGAAAAAGAACCUGAAACCGUGU